rnacentral:rRNA from 1 species
CCUACGGGAGGCAGCAGUGGGGAAUAUUGCACAAUGGGGGAAACCCUGAUGCAGCGACGCCGCGUGAGGGAAGAAGGUUUUCGGAUUGUAAACCUCUGUCUUCAGGGACGAUAGUGACGGUACCUGAGGAGGAAGCUCCGGCUAACUACGUGCCAGCAGCCGCGGUAAUACGUAGGGAGCGAGCGUUGUCCGGAAUUACUGGGUGUAAAGGGAGCGUAGGCGGGACAGCAAGUUGAAUGUGAAAUCUAUGGGCUCAACCCAUAAACUGCGUUCAAAACUGUUGUUCUUGAGUGAAGUAGAGGUAGGCGGAAUUCCUAGUGUAGCGGUGAAAUGCGUAGAUAUUAGGAGGAACACCAGUGGCGAAGGCGGCCUACUGGGCUUUAACUGACGCUGAGGCUCGAAAGCGUGGGUAGCAAACAGGAUU